CCUCUCUCCCUAGCUUCCGCUCUUAAGACGGGGAUCAAAGAGAGGUCAAACCCAAAAGAGAUCGCGUGGAUGCCCUGCCUGGGGUUGAAGCGUUAAAUCUAAUCAGGCUAGUUUGUUAGUGGCGUGUCUGUCCGCAGCUGGCAAGCGAAUGUAAAGACUGACUAAGCAUGUAGUGCCGAGGAUGUAGGAAUUUCGGACGCGGGUUCAACUCCCGCCAGCUCCACCA
rnacentral:tmRNA from 1 species